AGUCGAGGGGUAUAGUUCUUCGGAACUAGAGACCGGCGCACGGGUGCGUAACGCGUAUGCAAUCUACCUUUUACAGAGGGAUAGCCCAGAGAAAUUUGGAUUAAUACCUCAUAGCAUUGCAGAAUGGCAUCAUUCAGCAAUUAAAGUCACAACGGUAAAAGAUGAGCAUGCGUCCCAUUAGCUAGUUGGUAAGGUAACGGCUUACCAAGGCUACGAUGGGUAGGGGUCCUGAGAGGGAGAUCCCCCACACUGGUACUGAGACACGGACCAGACUCCUACGGGAGGCAGCAGUGAGGAAUAUUGGACAAUGGGCGCAAGCCUGAUCCAGCCAUGCCGCGUGCAGGAUGACGGUCCUAUGGAUUGUAAACUGCUUUUGUACAGGAAGAAACACUGGUUCGUGAACCAGCUUGACGGUACUGUAAGAAUAAGGAUCGGCUAACUCCGUGCCAGCAGCCGCGGUAAUACGGAGGAUCCAAGCGUUAUCCGGAAUCAUUGGGUUUAAAGGGUCCGUAGGCGGUUUAAUAAGUCAGUGGUGAAAGCCCAUCGCUCAACGGUGGAACGGCCAUUGAUACUGUUAAACUUGAAUUAUUAGGAAGUAACUAGAAUAUGUAGUGUAGCGGUGAAAUGCUUAGAGAUUACAUGGAAUACCAAUUGCGA
rnacentral:rRNA from 1 species